GGUUCCAUGGUGUAGUGGUUAUCACAUCUACUUAACGCGCAGAAGUCGUGUGUUCGAAACUCGCCGGAACCU
rnacentral:tRNA from 1 species